rnacentral:rRNA from 1 species
GCGUGGGUAACCUGGCCCAUACAGGGGGAUAACACUUAGAAAUAGGUGCUAAUACCGCAUAACAACAGAAAGCGCAUGCUUUUUGUUUGAAAACCAAGGUGGUAUGGGAUGGACCCGCGUCUGAUUAGCUGGUUGGCGGGGUAAAGGCCCACCAAGGCGACGAUCAGUAGCCGGCCUGAGAGGGUGGACGGCCACAUUGGGACUGAGACACGGCCCAAACUCCUACGGGAGGCAGCAGUGGGGAAUAUUGCACAAUGGGGGAAACCCUGAUGCAGCGACGCCGCGUGAGUGAAGAAGUAAUUCGUUAUGUAAAGCUCUAUCAGCAGGGAAGAAAAUGACGGUACCUGAGUAAGAAGCCCCGGCUAACUACGUGCCAGCAGCCGCGGUAAUACGUAGGGGGCAAGCGUUAUCCGGAUUUACUGGGUGUAAAGGGAGCGUAGACGGCAGUGCAAGUCUGGAGUGAAAGGCGGGGGCUCAACCCCCGGACUGCUUUGGAAACUGUAUGGCUGGAGUGCAGGAGAGGUAAGUGGAAUUCCUGGUGUAGCGGUGAAAUGCGUAGAUAUCAGGAGGAACACCAGUGGCGAAGGCGGCUUACUGGACUGUAACUGACGUUGAGGCUCGAAAGCGUGGGGAGCAAACAGGAUUCGAUACCCUGGUAGUCCACGCCGUAAACGAUGAUCACCAGGUGU